rnacentral:rRNA from 1 species
AACCGGGCUUCGGCCCGGGAAUCAGUGGCGAACGGGUGCGUAACACGUGGGCAACCUGCCCCCGACCCUGGGAUAACCCCGGGAAACCGGAGCUAAUACCGGAUACUCUCCUCCGAUCUCAUGAUCGGAAGAGGAAAGGUCCGCCGGUCGGGGAUGGGCCCGCGGCCUAUCAGCUUGUUGGUGGGGUAACGGCCUACCAAGGCGACGACGGGUAGCUGGUCUGAGAGGACGACCAGCCACACUGGGACUGAGACACGGCCCAGACUCCUACGGGAGGCAGCAGUGGGGAAUCUUGCGCAAUGGGCGAAAGCCUGACGCAGCGACACCGCGUGGGGGACGAAGGCCUUUCAGG